rnacentral:tRNA from 1 species
GGGGAAUUAGCUAGUGGUAGAGCGCUCGCUUAGCAUGUGAGAGGUAACUGGAUCGAUACUCGUAUUCUCCA